rnacentral:rRNA from 1 species
CAGCCGCCACGGUAAUACGAAGGGUGCAAGCGUUAAUCGGAAUUACUGGGCGUAAAGCGUGCGUAGGCGGUGAGUUAAGUCUGCUGUGAAAUCCCCGGGCUCAACCUGGGAAUGGCAGUGGAUACUGGCUCGCUAGAGUGUGUCAGAGGAUGGUGGAAUUCCCGGUGUAGCGGUGAAAUGCGUAGAGAUCGGGAGGAACAUCAGUGGCGAAGGCGGCCAUCUGGGACAACACUGACGCUGAAGCACGAAAGCGUGGGGAGCAAACAGGAUUAGAUACCCCAGUAGUCCCUGUCUCUUAUAA